AUGUGCAAACUGAGUUGCAAUAUUUUAAUGCCUUCUACUUAUGAUAAUAUUUUGGCUUUAUAUUUUAUGAUCUAUGAAAGUUACUCAUGUAUACAUGUGUCAUAUGUGCAAAAAUCAAUGGAACUAAAAAUGGAUGACAUAUACAUAUACAACAUGUAUACCUUGUCUUUUUUGUUAGCCACAUUUCAGAUUAAGCAACGCCGAGGACAACUUUGUUUUCAAAAAGGGGAGGAUGAUGAGGACAUGACUACCUUGGAUACGACCAAAAAUAUUGCAUACAUGCAUAUUUGUCAGGUGAUUUCUAGUGCAAACUAUUCAAUAAUCUAUUUAUGUUAUCCAGAACAAAAAUACUUCACACACUUUUGUGUUUUGUCUAAUUGCAGGUGUAUGGGAUAUUUGUACAAUUCACAUAUGAAGAUAAGGGAGAAAGAUAUGUUUAAAUGCUGUUCAAAAAGUUCGCUCACAUCACUUUUAGGCCAAGAGAAGAUAGAGUCCAAAUCUCUCACGUUCUAG
rnacentral:rRNA from 1 species